GUAAUACUCCAUAGUUCGUUAUUACUGGAAUGUUUUUCGAACGAAAGAUCCGUCGCUUCAGGAUGAGUCUGCGGCCGAUUAGGUAGUUGUUGGGGUAAUUGCCCAACAAGCCUGUAAUCGGUACGGGUUGUGGGAGCAAGAGCCCGGAGAUGGAUUCUGAGACACGAAUCCAGGCCCUACGGGGCGCAGCAGGCGCGAAAACUUUACCAUGCGGGCAACCGUGAUAAGGAAACCCCGAGUGCCAGCACAGGCUGGCUGUCCGCCAGUUUAAACAACUGGCGAAGAAAGGGCCGGGCAAGACCGGUGCCAGCCGCCGCGGUAAUACCGGCGGCUCGAGUGGUGGCCGCUAUUACUGGGCUUAAAGGGUCCGUAGCUUGAUAAUAGGGUCCCUUGAGGAAUCCGCCGGCUUAACUGGCGGGCGUUCAGGGGAAACUUGUUUUCUAGGGACCGGGAGAGGUGAGGGGUACUGCCGGGGUAGGAGUGAAAUCCUGUAAUCCCGGUGGGACCACCUAUGGCGAAGGCAUCUCACCAGAACGGGUCCGACAGUGAGGGACGAAAGCUGGGGGAGCAAACCGGAUUAGAUACCCGGGUAGUCCCAGCUGUAAACUAUGUGCGUUAGGUGU
rnacentral:rRNA from 1 species